CUAGACUGAGGAGAAUCCCCAUGCCGAAGGUCGUUGGAAUUGGUGGUGUGUUCUUCAGGGCGGCGGACCCGGCUGGGCUCGCCGAGUGGUACGAGAAGU
rnacentral:sRNA from 1 species